UACGUAGGGGGCAAGCGUUGUCCGGAUUUAUUGGGCGUAAAGAGCGUGUAGGCGGCUAGGUAAGUCUGCUCUGAAAGCCCGGGGCUCAACCCCGGGAGGCGGGUGGAUACUGUCUAGCUCGAGUCCGGAAGAGGAGUGUGGAAUUCCUGGUGUAGCGGUGAAAUGCGCAGAUAUCAGGAGGAACACCAAUGGCGAAGGCAGCACUCUGGGACGUGACUGACGCUGAGACGCGAAAGCGUGGGGAGCAAACAGG
rnacentral:rRNA from 1 species